rnacentral:misc_RNA from 1 species
AAAGUCGUAACAAGGUCUCCGUUGGUGAACCAGCGGAGGGAUCAUUAUCGAGUGUUACAACUCCCAAACCACUGUGAACCUUACCUAUCGUUGCUUCGGCGGGACCGCCCCGGCGCCCUCGGGCCCGGAACCAGGCGCCCGCCGGAGGCCCCAAACACUCUGUUUCCACCUACGUAUUCUCUGAGUAAACAAGCAAAUGAAUUAAAACUUUCAACAACGGAUCUCUUGGUUCUG